rnacentral:rRNA from 1 species
UACGUAGGGUGCAAGCGUUAAUCGGAAUGACUGGGCGUAAAGAGUGCGUAGGCGGUUCUUGAAGUCCGCUGUGAAAGCCCCGGGCUUAACCUGGGAAUGGCAGUGGAAACUGGAGGACUUGAAUUGAGCAGAGGGGGGUGGAAUGCCGCGUGUAGCAGUGAAAUGCGUAGAGAUGCGGCGGAACACCGAUGGCGAAGGCAGCCCCCUGGGCUUAAAUUGACGCUGAGGCACGAAAGCGUGGGGAGCAAACAGG